rnacentral:tRNA from 1 species
AUCGGGAUAGCUCAGUGGUUAGAGCAACAGCCCCAUGCGGGUUCGAAUCCCGCUCCCGAUACUA